rnacentral:rRNA from 1 species
UACGGAGGGUGCAAGCGUUAUCCGGAUUCACUGGGUUUAAAGGGUGCGUAGGCGGGUAAGUAAGUCCGUGGUGAAAUCUCUGAGCUUAACUCAGAAACUGCCGUGGACACUAUUUGCCUUGAAUAUUGUGGAGGUGAGCGGAAUAUGUCAUGUAGCGGUGAAAUGCUUAGAUAUGACAUAGAACACCAAUUGCGAAGGCAGCUCACUACUCAAUCAUUGACGCUGAGGCACGAAAGCGUGGGGAUCAAACAGG